CCGAACAUACCGACCACAACGACCACACCGACCACAACAACCACCGUUGCAAGAGGACCUACAUGCUAUUCGUGCUCCGGCAUCCAGUGUUCCAAAUCACAGAGCAUUUUGCUUUCCUAUUCUUUGACAUGUUCUUAUGGAUAUGUGUGCUACACCUCGGCCUCGGCCUACGAAAGUUACAGUCUGUUCUACAGUUCUUCCACCAUUGCCUACAGCUACAGCCGCGGGUGCAGGCGUCUGUCAUCUUGUACCAGUCAGGAACUCCAGGGGAAUACAUGCACGGGAACUAGGACCAGUAAAGUAUGUAGGCAGUGCUGCACUACUAACUACUGUAACAAUGGUACACUGGAUACGUCCCAAAGCAGCACCAACAACACAGGAUCCGGUCCCAGGAGUGCUUGGUUUGACGUCCUCUACGCGUUUUUGUUCUUUAUCUUUGCUUGGAAUUAAAGCCACAGUGUGCCCGCUUUACACCCUACUGUGACAGCAAACUCAAACAGUUUUAACUGUGGUACAGAUUUAUUGUGGAAUAUUAUAUUCAAAACUAUUGACAGAAUUACAAUAUUAAAAGUCGAAGUUGGGUGUAUAUGUGCUGUAAAGGUAAAGGGAUAAUAACUCUUCGUGUUAGAUCUAUAUUUCACAAUAAAAACAUUGUGAGUACACACAUCUGAGGUCCAAAUGUUUUGCUCGCAAUUUCGAUUGUUAUUAUUGUGACAUUUAGAAAAAGUUUGUCAUGCUGCGCGUGUGAGCAAGUGACUAAGAAAAGGAACAUAGACAUUUCGUCAUUUUAAUUCAAGACAGGAUUGAUGGUACCGUUAUUGCCGCAUCUCAGGCUAAUUACUCACAGAGAACAUUUCGACACUAGAAAUAUGAGUAUAGCUACGAUAUAUUA